rnacentral:rRNA from 1 species
AUUGAACGCUGGCGGCAUGCCUUACACAUGCAAGUCGAACGGUAACAGGUCUUCGGAUGCUGACGAGUGGCGAACGGGUGAGUAAUACAUCGGAACGUGCCCGAUCGUGGGGGAUAACGAAGCGAAAGCUUUGCUAAUACCGCAUACGAUCUACGGAUGAAAGCAGGGGACCGCAAGGCCUUGCGCGAACGGAGCGGCCGAUGGCAGAUUAGGUAGUUGGUGGGAUAAAAGCUUACCAAGCCGACGAUCUGUAGCUGGUCUGAGAGGACGACCAGCCACACUGGGACUGAGACACGGCCCAGAAUCCUACGGGAGGCAGCAGUGGGGAAUUUUGGACAAUGGGCGAAAGCCUGAUCCAGCCAUGCCGCGUGCAGGAUGAAGGCCUUCUGGUUGUAAACUGCUUUUGUACGGAACGAAAAGACUCUGGUUAAUACCUGGGGUCCAUGACGGUACCGUAAGAAUAAGCACCGGCUAACUACGUGCCAGCCGCCGCCGUAAGAC